rnacentral:rRNA from 1 species
GAUGAACGCUGGCGGCGUGCCUAAUACAUGCAAGUCGAGCGAACGGACGAGAAGCUUGCUUCUCUGAUGUUAGCGGCGGACGGGUGAGUAACACGUGGAUAACCUACCUAUAAGACUGGGAUAACUUCGGGAAACCGGAGCUAAUACCGGAUAAUAUUUUGAACCGCAUGGUUCAAAAGUGAAAGACGGUCUUGCUGUCACUUAUAGAUGGAUCCGCGCUGCAUUAGCUAGUUGGUAAGGUAACGGCUUACCAAGGCAACGAUGCAUAGCCGACCUGAGAGGGUGAUCGGCCACACGGGAACGGAGACACGGUCCAGACUCCUACGGGAGGCAGCAGAAGGGAAUCUUCCGCAAUGGGCGAAAGCCUGACGGAGCAACGCCGCGUGAGUGAUGAAGGUCUUCGGAUCGUAAAACUCUGUUAUUAGGGAAGAACAUAUGUGUAAGUAACUGUGCACAUCUUGACGGUACCUAAUCAGAAAGCCACGGCUAACUACGUG